CAGCCCUGUUGGUUUUUAUUUCUGUAUCGCAUCGCGACUAUUAAUUACAAGCACAGCAUCAUCAACGGUGAUUGCAAGAACUACUGCAAUCCCUGCGGUUUUUCCUCUUGGUAAAUGCGUUCUGGUCGUGACCAAGGGUGGUCUCCCAAAUCGGCCGGGAAUAAGGCUAUUGUUGCAGAACAAAACGCCGCAACCACUGCUGGGGUAAAUAUGUUCCAGCAGAACUGCCCCCCGCCGUCGGUGUAAUGAUUUCGAUAGCUGAACAAACGCCAUCUCCUGGGCAUUCCCACAGCUUGCCGACACUAGCUAUUAUAGCACGUGUGAAUGCAACUGCGGCUAAAUUUGGUUAUUAACAGUGC